UUCAGGUAAACUCUUCAACUUUCCAAAUUCCAAACGUCAUCUUGAAUUAACAAUACCAAAAAUUUCGAUCAUCUUCUUCAAUUUAUCUUUAUAUGGUAAUUUUCUUUUCGGGCAAAAUCUACAUCUUCUGAAGUAGAUGUUGAGGUGAUUACCAACAUUUCUCCAACUAUGCCAAUGGCAUCUCAACAACAAGUUUGAAAAAUCACGGAUAUCAAGAUGAGAGAUCUCAAAAGAUGAAUGGCAAGAGAUAGUCAUGUAAAAUAUCUUUCUACUCCUCAACUUACGUGGAAAAAAGAUUCACAACUAAGGUAUUAGCAAGAAAAUGGUCUGAAUCACAUUGAGGGAGAAGGAAUUGAAGCG